UAACUACUGCCUUACCAAUACUUAUAUCUAUCAUAGUAAAUUCUUACACAUAUUUCGCUACAUUCUCUGGACAAAUGACAAAUCGUAAACAAUAAACAUUAUUCAUCUCGCUCAAUUAUGCUUCGGGUUUCCUGUGUGAAUUCGUUUUCCAGUACCGCUCUGGACUAAAUUGGUGGCUCUACUUCGGCUAUCGGAUCAGUAUUGCUCAAAGUGAAACAACGCGAAUGAGGUUAUCGCCUCCUGGAUGCACACAAAUUAUUCUCGCCAAAGGCCACUUAACCGGUAUUUGGAAUUCGUCUACGAUAACCGCCAACCGCCCGGGUUGGAUAUCGGUGUUUGGAUUGCAGAUCCUUGUUGCCCGUUGCAGCUCCUGUACUGAUAAUGGUCCAGCUUUCCUAUGGGAAUCUGAUUGGUAUCAAGUUCCGGAAGUGCAUUCAGGCUCGAUCCAAUUAAAACAUGAGCUGGUGUCAAACAGGAAAAAUCAUUUGGAUCCUCCGUCAUUGGCACUAAAGGGCGUGAAUUCAUACUAGCUUCAAUUUGAGUCAGCAAUGU